GUCGGGACCACGAGCAGAACCCAGGGAGCCACGGAACGGAGCCAGGGACCUGGGCCACACAGCCUUGGUAUAAAAUGUGGGAGAGCCCUCAAGUGACGGGGUGGCCUGCCUGGGACUCUGGUGGCAUGGAGGAAGACUUCUCAAUGUCCAUGCAGGAGGAAAAACUCCAAGGGGACACAGAACCAUUUUAAUGCCCUCCCUUUGUCCUCACAAUAAACCUACGGGCAGAGGUGCUAUGAGUUAUUUGCACUUUUGGAUGAGAGAAAGUGAACCAAAGAGGGGCCAAGCAGCUGGAAGCUCGUGAGCGUCACUCAAUGUCCACCGCCAGCUGUGACCACAACAGAGGCUGGCUUGCUGUCACACACACACACCAGA